GUAACAAGGUUUCCGUAGGUGAACCUGCGGAAGGAUCAUUAACGCGCAGGCCGACGUCGGCUGCCCUGUCCCCCGAAUUGGGGUUGACUGGGCAUGCCGCCGGCCACACGCCCCAUUCUUGUCUACCUUUACCCGGUUGCCUCGGCGGGCCGCGCCCCCUUAACUGGAGGCCGGCCAGGCGGGAGAUUCAGUCUCCCACCCGGUCAGCGCCCGCCGGCGGACCAUUUAAAGAAACUUUUUUAACUAUCGUUUUCGUCUGAGCAUGACAAGCAAAUCAGUUAAAACUUUCAACAACGGAUCUCUUGGUUCCGGCAUCGAUGAAGAACGCAGCGAAAUGCGAUAAGUAAUGUGAAUUGCAGAAUUCCGUGAAUCAUCGAAUCUUUGAACGCACAUUGCGCCCCCUGGUAUUCCGGGGGGCAUGCCUGUUCGAGCGUCAUUUCAACCCCUCAAGCUCGGCUUGUGAGAUGGACGAUCGUCCCCGAAUCCCCGUCCGCGGGGGGGAGGGACGCGCCCGAAAAGCAGUGGCCAGGCCGCGCUUCCGGCACCUAGGCGAAUGGGAUACACCACCGCUUAAGGGACCGGCCGGUCUGCUGGCCUCAUUUUCUUCAACCAUACGUUCAUUCGUUAGUUGAACAAUUUUCAGGUUGACCUCGGAUCAGGUAGGGAUACCCGCUGAACUUAAGCAUAUCAAUAA
rnacentral:misc_RNA from 1 species